GAUGAACGCUAGCGGAAGGCCUAAUACAUGCAAGUCGAACGGGCAUAUUGAUUUCGGUUGAUAUGUUAGUGGCGCACGGGUGAGUAACGCGUACACAACCUGCCUUAUAUUGGGGGAUAGCCCUGGGAAACUGGGAGUAAUACCGCAUAAUAUUAUUGAGAGGCAUCUUUUGAUAAUUAAAGCUGAGGCGAUAUAAGAUGGGUGUGCGUCUGAUUAGGUAGUUGGUAGGGUAACGGCCUACCAAGCCGACGAUCAGUAGGGGGUGUGAGAGCAUGGCCCCCCACACGGGUACUGAGACACGGACCCGACUCCUACGGGAGGCAGCAGUAAGGAAUAUUGGUCAAUGGAGGGAACUCUGAACCAGCCAUUCCGCGUGAAGGAUGACGGCCCUCUGGGUUGUAAACUUCUUUAGUCUGGGAAGAAAAGUUUGCAUUUAUGCGA
rnacentral:rRNA from 1 species